rnacentral:sRNA from 1 species
GCAUAUCAAUAAGCGGAGGAAAAGAAACCAACAGGGAUUGCCUCAGUAACGGCGAGUGAAGCGGCAACAGCUCAAAUUUGAAAUCUGGCCCCAGGCCCGAGUUGUAAUUUGCAGAGGAUGCUUUUGGUGCGGUGCCUUCCAAGUUCCCUAGAACGGGACGCCAGAGAGGGUGAGAGCCCCGUACAGUUGGACACCAAGCCUUUGUAAAGCUCCUUCGACGAGUCGAGUAGUUUGGGAAUGCUGCUCAAAAUGGGAGGUAUAUUUCUUCUAAAGCUAAAUACCGGCCAGAGACCGAUAGCGCACAAGUAGAGUGAUCGAAAGAUGAAAAGCACUUUGAAAAGAGGGUUAAACAGCACGUGAAAUUGUUAAAAGGGAAGCGCUUGUGACCAGACUUGCGUCCGGUGAAUCACCCAGCUCUCGCGGCUGGGGCACUUCGCCGGCUCAGGCCAGCAUCAGCUCGCUGUCGGGGACAAAAGCUUCAGGAACGUAGCUCUCUUCGGGGAGUGUUAUAGCCUGUUGCACAAUACCCUUCGGCGGGCUGAGGUACGCGCUCCGCAAGGAUGCUGGCAUAAUGGUCAUCAGCGACCCGUCUUGAAACACGGACCAAGGAGUCAACCUUAUGUGCGAGUGUUCGGGUGUCAAACCCCUACGCGUAAUGAAAGUGAACGCAGGUGAGAGCUUCGGCGCAUCAUCGACCGAUCCUGAUGUUCUCGGAUGGAUUUGAGUAAGAGCAUAUAGGGUUGGACCCGAAAGAAGGUGAACUAUGCGUGUAUAGGGUGAAGCCAGAGGAAACUCUGGUGGAGGCUCGCAGCGGUUCUGACGUGCAAAUCGAUCGUCAAAUAUGCGCAUGGGGGCGAAAGACUAAUCGAACCUUCUAGUAGCUGGGUUCC